UGGCUCAGAACGUACGCUGGCGGCAGGCCUAACACAUGCAAGUCGAGCGCCCCGCAAGUGGGAGCGGCAGACGGGAGAGUAACACGUGGGAACGUACCCUUUGGUUCGGAACAACCCAGGGAAACUUGGGCUAAUACCGGAUAAGCCCUUACGGGGAAAGAUUUAUCGCCGAAGGAUCGGCCCGCGUCUGAUUAGCUAGUUGGUGGGGUAAUGUCCCACCAAGGCGACGGGCAAUAGCUGGUCUGAGAGGAUGAUCAGCCUCACUGGGACU
rnacentral:rRNA from 1 species